UACGUAGGGUGCGAGCGUUAUUCGGAAUUACUGGGCGUAAAGCGUGCGUAGGCGGUUCGCUGUGUCCGAUGUGAAAGCCCCGGGCUUAACCUGGGAAUGGCAUUGGAAACUGGCGGGCUUGAGUGCGGCAGAGGGGGGUGGAAUUUCGCGUGUAGCAGUGAAAUGCGUAGAUAUCGGUAGGAACACCAGUGGCGAAGGCGGUCUCCUGGGGCAUUCUUGACGCUGAGGCGCGAAAGCUGGGGGAGCGAACGGG
rnacentral:rRNA from 1 species